CAUGCCAGGAAAUGAUACAAACUACUCUUGGAUCCAGGGGCCGCCUGCAGAGAGAGACUGGGAAGCAGAGUGAAGGGAUUUGAAAACUCUAAGACACUGGGGGAAAAAAAUCACUGCAUUUGACUGAAUUUAUCUACACCUGAUGUGUGAAACCCUGGAAGAAUUGCUAUGAUGUUUACUAUUGAGUUUGAAAAGUAGCAGGAGCCCGAGGUAAGCAAGAGACCAUUAAAUGCUAAAACAUGAGCGAUCUGAAGGUUUUUAAGGAAUUUCGUGAGCAGAAAGUUUCACCCAGAAUCAGCUAGUUGGGAAGAAAGAAAGGAGAGUGAGUCAUGAGAGAAAUAUUACACAGAUCCCUUUUAAGGGACAUUCUACAGAAUACCUAAGCAAUUCUCUUCAAAACUGUCAAAAAGUCAUAAAAAAAACCUGAUAAAGUGUCACAACCAAAAAGAAGCUAAAGAGACAAUGACUAAAUGUCAUAUGCUAUCCUGUGUGGAAUCCUAAAAGAGAAAAAGCCCCGGUCCUCUUCGGACGUCACUGUCACCUCCCUAUCCCCAGCAGCAAGAACACUGCAAGCCCUCAGUAAAACACCUGUUGAAUGAAUGAAUAAAAUCCCACUUAAGGGGGUCGCUCCUAGGCCCCCACCCCGAUCCUCGGCUCCGCCCCAGGGGUGAAAUCGUCCACACGGGGCAGG
rnacentral:lncRNA from 1 species